rnacentral:rRNA from 1 species
AACGAACGCUGGCGGCGCGCCUAAUACAUGCAAGUCGAGCGAGAAGACGUAGCAAUACGUUUGUAAAGCGGCGAACGGGUGAGGAAUACAUGGGUAACCUACCCUCGAGUGGGGAAUAACUAACCGAAAGGUUAGCUAAUACCGCAUACGGCUCCUGGUCUGCGGAUCGGGAGAGAAAGCGAUACCGUGGGUAUCGCGCUCUUGGAUGGGCUCAUGUCCUAUCAGCUUGUUGGUGAGGUAACGGCUCACCAAGGCUUCGACGGGUAGCUGGUCUGAGAGGACGAUCAGCCACACUGGCACUGCGACACGGGCAGACUCCUACGGGAGGCAGCAGUAAGGAAUAUUGCGCAAUGGGCGAAAGCCUGACGCAGCAACGCCGCGUGCGGGAUGACGGCCUUCGUGGUUGUAAACCGCUUUCAGCAGGGACGAAAAUGACGGUACCUGCAGAAGAAGCCCCGGCUAACUACGUGCCAGCANGNCCGCNGGUNAAUNACGNUAGGGGGNCAAGCGUUGNUCCNGGANUUCANUUGGGCGUAAAGAGCUCGUAGGCNGGNUUCAGUAAGUCAGGUGUGAAGGCUCCGAGCUCAACUCGGAGAGGCCACCUGAUACUGCUGUGACUUGAGUCCAGUAGAGGAGCGUGGAACUCCUGGUGUAGCGGUGGAAUGCGCAGAUAUCAGGAAGAACACCUGCAGCGAAGGCGGCGCUCUGGGCUGGAACUGACGCUGAGGAGCGAAAGCAUGGGUAGCAAACAGGAUUAGAUACCCUGGUAGUCCAUGCCGUAAACGUUGGGCACUAGGUGUNGGGGAGCCGUCAACGCUCUCUGUGCCGUAGCUAACGCAUUAAGUGCCCCGCCUNGGGGAGUACGGCCGCAAGGCUAAAACUCAAAGGAAUUGACNGGGGGCCCGCACAAGNCGGCGGAGCAUGNUUGCUUAANUUCGAGGCAACGCGNAAGNAACCNUUACCUANGGUUGNAACUAUNGCANGGAAAAGCCACAGAGAUGUNGGNUGUNCCNUUCNGGGGNCCUGNCGAUAGGUNGGNUGCAUGGSUGUSGUCAGCUCGUGUCGUGAGAUGUUGGGUUAAGUCCCGCAACGAGCGCAACCCUUAUCCUAUGUUGCCAGCGCAUAAUGGCGGGGACUCGUGGGAGACUGCCGGGGUCAACUCGGAGGAAGGUGGGGACGACGUCAAGUCAUCAUGCCCCUUAUGUCUAGGGCUGCAAACAUGCUACAAUGGCCGGUACAGAGGGCUGCGAAACCGCGAGGUCGAGCGAAUCCCAAAAAGCCGGUCUCAGUUCGGAUUGAAGUCUGCAACUCGACUCCAUGAAGCUGGAAUCGCUAGUAAUCGCGGAUCAGAAUGCCGCGGUGAAUACGUUCCCGGGCCUUGUACACACCGCCCGUCACAUCACGAAAGCCGGCUGUACUAGAAGUCGCUGCGCUAACCCGCAAGGGGGGCAGGCGCCCACGGUAUGGUCGGUGAUUGGGGUG